rnacentral:lncRNA from 1 species
AGUAAUUAAAACUUUGUGAGCUUUUGAAAUUUUUGGCACUUAUGCAUUUGAAAUUAGAUUGUAUAAAACAAUAAACUCUUUGGGUAGAGACAACAGUUUGUGGGUAUCUAAGCCGGAAAUCCGCACGAGACAAAACUCAUCCACUAGGGCCAUCUAGGGGUUUAAAGCCUUAUUGCAUACGGUAAAUGCAAUCGCGAUUCCUGAGAAAGUGAGUUAGUUUUUAUUUUGCUUGAGGACUAGCAAAAUGUAGGUUGGGGGUGUGAUAAGUGUUAAAUAAUAAAUAAAUUUACCUAUUUUACAUAGCACAUAUUAUUGUUUUUAUGCACAUAUUUUAAAGUUAAACAUAAGAAAAUAUGUUUCCCUUCAUCAUUGUAUUUUAAUAAAUUAUUUGGUAAUUCGAGUUUGGUUUAAUUAUUUUGGUCGAGUC